GAGUUUGAUCCUGGCUCAGAUUGAACGCUGGCGGCAGGCUUAACACAUGCAAGUCGAACGGUAACAUGAGUGCUUGCACUUGAUGACGAGUGGCGGACGGGUGAGUAAAGUAUGGGGAUCUGCCGAAUGGAGGGGGACAACAGUUGGAAACGACUGCUAAUACCGCAUAAAGUUGAGAGACCAAAGCAUGGGACUUACGGGCCAUGCGCCAUUUGAUGAACCCAUAUGGGAUUAGCUAGUUGGUAGGGUAAUGGCUUACCAAGGCGACGAUCUCUAGCUGGUCUGAGAGGAUGACCAGCCACACUGGAACUGAGACACGGUCCAGACUCCUACGGGAGGCAGCAGUGGGGAAUAUUGCACAAUGGGGGGAACCCUGAUGCAGCCAUGCCGCGUGUAUGAAGAAGGCCUUCGGGUUGUAAAGUACUUUCGGUAACGAGGAAGGUGGUGUAUCUAAUAGGUGCAUCAAUUGACGUUAAUUACAGAAGAAGCACCGGCUAACUCCGUGCCAGCAGCCGCGGUAAUACGGAGGGUGCGAGCGUUAAUCGGAAUGACUGGGCGUAAAGGGCAUGUAGGCGGAUAAUUAAGUUAGGUGUGAAAGCCCUGGGCUCAACCUAGGAAUUGCACUUAAAACUGGUUAACUAGAGUAUUGUAGAGGAAGGUAGAAUUCCACGUGCAGCGGUGAAAUGCGUAGAGAUGUGGAGGAAUACCGGUGGCGAAGGCGGCCUUCUGGACAGAUACUGACGCUGAGAUGCGAAAGCGUGGGGAGCAAACAGGAUUAGAUACCCUGGUAGUCCACGCUGUAAACGAUGUCGAUUUGGAGUUUGUUGCCUAGAGUGAUGGGCUCCGAAGCUAACGCGAUAAAUCGACCGCCUGGGGAGUACGGCCGCAAGGUUAAAACUCAAAUGAAUUGACGGGGGCCCGCACAAGCGGUGGAGCAUGUGGUUUAAUUCGAUGCAACGCGAAGAACCCUACCUGGUCUUGACAUCCACAGAAUCUUGCAGAGAUGCGAGAGUGCCUUCGGGAACUGUGAGACAGGUGCUGCAUGGCUGUCGUCAGCUCGUGUUGUGAAAUGUUGGGUUAAGUCCCGCAACGAGCGCAACCCUUAUCCUUUGUUGCCAGCGAUUCGGUCGGGAACUCAAAGGAGACUGCCGUUGAUAAAGCGGAGGAAGGUGGGGACGACGUCAAGUCAUCAUGGCCCUUACGACCAGGGCUACACACGUGCUACAAUGGCGUAUACAAAGGGAGGCGA
rnacentral:rRNA from 1 species